rnacentral:rRNA from 1 species
UACGUAGGGGGCAAGCGUUGUCCGGAUUUAUUGGGCGUAAAGAGCGUGUAGGCGGCCAGACAGGUCCGUUGUGAAAACUCGAGGCUCAACCUCGAGAUGUCGAUGGAAACCGUCUGGCUAGAGUCCGGAAGAGGAGUGUGGAAUUCCUGGUGUAGCGGUGAAAUGCGCAGAUAUCAGGAAGAACACCUAUGGCGAAGGCAGCACUCUGGGACGGUACUGACGCUGAGGCGCGAAAGCCUAGGGGAGCGAACAGG